rnacentral:rRNA from 1 species
UACGUAGGGCGCAAGCGUUGUCCGGAAUUAUUGGGCGUAAAGAGCUCGUAGGCGGUUUGUCGCGUCUGCUGUGAAAACCUAAGGCUCAACCUUGGGCUUGCAGUGGGUACGGGCAGACUAGAGUGCGGUAGGGGUGACUGGAAUUCCUGGUGUAGCGGUGGAAUGCGCAGAUAUCAGGAGGAACACCGAUGGCGAAGGCAGGUCACUGGGCCGCAACUGACGCUGAGGAGCGAAAGCAUGGGGGGCGAACAGG